rnacentral:rRNA from 1 species
AGAGUUUGAUCCUGGCUCAGCCUGAACGCUGGCGAGCGUUGGCUAAGACAUGCAAGUCGCACGGUGUAGACAAUACACAGUGGCGGACGGGAGAGUAAAGAAUCGCUAAUGUACCCCGGACUCUGGGAUAGCUGCUCGAAAGGGCAGGUAAUACCAGAUGAGACCACGAUGAGGCAUCUCAUUGUGCUCAAAGGUCCGCCGGUCUGGGAGCAGGCGAUUUCGUAUCAGCUAGUUGGUAGGGUAACGGCCUACCAAGGCGACGACGCGUAGCCGGACUGAGAGGUUGGCCGGCCUCAUUGGGACUGAGACACUGCCCAGACUCCUACGGGGGGCUGCAGUAACGAAUCUUCGUCAAUGCACGAAAGUGUGAACGAGCGACGCCGCGUGUAGGAAAGCCCUUCGGGGUGUAAACUACUGUCAGGGGUUAGAAAGUUCUGAUCAACCCCAGAGGAAGAGGCGGCUAACUCUGUGCCAGCAGCCGCGGUAAGACAGAGGCCUCGAGCGUUAGGCGGAAUCACUGGGCUUUAAAGCGUGUGUAGGUUGAUGCCUAAGUGCCUUGUGAAAUCCCACGGCUCAACCGUGGAACUGCUUGGCAUACAUGGGUGUCUUGAGCCAAUUAGGGGUUACCGGAACAAACGGUGGAGCGGUGAAAUGGUAAUUCGUUUGGAACGCCAUGUGAAAAAGGUAAUGGGAUGUGCUGAACACUGAGAACACGAAAGCCCAAGGGGGAGCGAACGGGAUUAGAUACCCCGGUAGUCCCUGCCCAUAAACGAUGUCCACUAGAUCGUGGCAGCUCUGACGCUGUCAUGGUCGAAGCAAAAAGUGCUAAGUGGACCGCCUGGGAAGUACGNUCGCAAGGCUAAACUCAAAGGAAUUGACGGGGGCUCACACAAGCGGUGGAGCAUGUGGUUCAAUUCGAAGCAACGCGCAGAACCUUACCUGGGCUUGACAUGCCAGGAUUAUCUCGAUGAAAGUCGAGUAGGCCCCGCAAGGGGUACAACUGGUACAGGUGCUGCAUGGCUGUCGUCAGCUCGUGUCGUGAGAUGUCGGGUUAAGUCCCUUAACGAGCGAAACCUUUGCCCUUAGUUACUAACAGGUAAUGCUGAGGACUCUAAGGGGACUGCCGGUGUCAAACCGGAGGAAGGUGGAGAUGACGUCAAGUCCUCAUGGCCUUUAUGCCCAGGGCCACACACGUGCUACAAUGGAGUGCACAAAGCGAACCAAGACCGCAAGGUGGUGGAAAUCGCAGAAAUCACUCCCCAGUUCAGAUUGGAGGCUGCAACUCGCCUCCAUGAAGUUGGAAUCGCUAGUAAUCGCGGAUCAGCUACGCCGCGGUGAAUGUGUUCCUGAGCCUUGUACACACCGCCCGUCAAGUCAUGGGAGCCGGAAAUAGCCGAAGUUGUCCCGAUACAGGGAUACCUACGCUAGGUUCGGUGACUGGGACUAAGUCGUACAAGGUACCGUAGGGGACCUGCGGCUGGAUCACCUCCUU